AGGCGCGCCCGGCUGCGCGGAGCCCUGAGCGGAGCCCGGGGCCAGAGUGUCCUGGCUGCCAGCUCCAGUCACGGGGCUCGUUCGCUUCGCUGCCCUUAAAAACACGCGGGGAAAGGCACCCCCCGCGGGCCGGGCGAGGGUCUGUGGGGACCCUUCCGCCUCUCUCCGGGGGCUCGGGCAGGGCCACGCCGUGUCCCAGCGCGCCUCCAAUUUAAAACUCAGGGCUUUGCCUCCCUGCCCCACCAACAUCUGCUUCUGCAGAACCAAACUAACCACCAGUGCCGGCCUCGGGUGGCGGCGCCCAUGGGGACAGAUGUUGGAGCGGCACAAAAAUAAGAGCUUCAAACAGCUCCUUCCCCCUGCCCUGGCCUCACCUCUCCCUCCGAAAAGGAGAUGAGAACUGAGGACGAGGUGCCAAACACGACUUCAAACAGCAUCUAAUAAAACACGGGAUUAAUUUCUUCUGA